AAACUCUGGUGGAAUUAAAUUUGGUUUUUGAAUUGUUUAAUGCUGGUUAUUAUUACUAUGCACUUUUGAAAAUGUCUUGAUAUUGUGAUAUGUGACUUGUUGCUGUGUGUGUGUGUGUGUGUGUGUGUGUGUAAACAGCUCUGAGCAGGAUAUACCAUAUUUCUCGCUCUAUAAGAUGCACCAGACCACAAGACGCACCUAGUUUU